rnacentral:rRNA from 1 species
UACGAAGGGGGCUAGCGUUGCUCGGAAUCACUGGGCGUAAAGGGUGCGUAGGCGGGUCUUAAGUCAGGGGUGAAAUCCUGGAGCUCAACUCCAGAACUGCCUUUGAUACUGAAGAUCUUGAGUUCGGGAGAGGUGAGUGGAACUGCGAGUGUAGAGGUGAAAUUCGUAGAUAUCGGGAGGAACACCAGUGGCGAAGGCGGCGAUCUGGGUCGAUACUGACGCUGAGGUGCGAAAGCGUGGGGAGCAAACAGG